CCUACGGGGGGGCUGCAGUGGGGAAUAUUGGACAAUGGGGGGAACCCUGAUCCAGCCAUGCCGCGUGUGUGAAGAAGGCCCUCGGGUUGUAAAGCACUUUCAGUGAGGAAGAACGCCUGGUGGUUAAUACCCAUCAGGAAAGACAUCACUCACAGAAGAAGCACCGGCUAACUCCGUGCCAGCAGCCGCGGUAAUACGGAGGGUGCGAGCGUUAAUCGGAAUUACUGGGCGUAAAGCGCGCGUAGGUGGCUUGAUAAGCCGGUUGUGAAAGCCCCGGGCUCAACCUGGGAACGGCAUCCGGAACUGUCAAGCUAGAGUGCAGGAGAGGAAGGUAGAAUUCCCGGUGUAGCGGUGAAAUGCGUAGAGAUCGGGAGGAAUACCAGUGGCGAAGGCGGCCUUCUGGACUGACAAUGACACUGAGGUGCGAAAGCGUGGGUAGCAAACAGGAUUAGAUACCCGAGUAGUC
rnacentral:rRNA from 1 species